UCUGCCCAGGAGAGGCUGGCUUCGAUUCUCCGGGAUUAAUCCGAGACCGACGGAGUCCCACGGUCUGCGCGGCGACUGCGUCGUCAGCGACGCGAUCUGGACUCAGGCGCGCGUCCAGAUGGCUGUCAGCUGGACACCAGCAAGCCCUGUCCAUGGGUUCCGAAUGUCUAAUGAUAGUUGUAUCAUCCAGUUAAUUAGUGCUACUGCUACUGAACAGGACAUGCCACACAGGAGAAGUCAGAAUGGUCUCCAGGGAAAUCAGUUGAGUUUUCUCUUCAGCUGCACUGGUUCCCUCUUGCCAAAGAGUGGUUUGCUCCUUUGCAGGUUCCUAGCGUUAAACUCUGGUUCUCAGGCAUACCAGCGAAUGCCAUUAUUUCCUGAGCCAUCUUUCUGGACCUCAAGGUUAUUUUGAUCAGCAGCUAGGUAACAACACUCCUCACUGAGAAGAAAAAAGUGGGAAGAGGAGAGGAUUGGAAGAGGGAAUCAGAAAGGAAAACAUUUCUGCGAUUACUUUUUGAUCAUCACAUGGAUACAUUCAUACACAUUUAUACAUGCAUGCACAUGCUCUGGUGGAAACACACACACACACACACACACACACACACACACACACAAGAUGCACAAAAUCAUGAAGCCUGGACAUCUGCCAAGGUAAUGUCCCGGGAAGACACAUCAUCUGUGCCCUGCUGAUAAGCUGGCCUGUAUGCUGAAUGAUGACCUCACUUCCAUCCAACAAGACAUCCCUGAGAUGUUUCAGGAACAGACAAGAUCAGAAUGUAAACAAAACUUUGAAUGUUCAGGGAGCUACUAAGAGAAAAGACUACCAAGGCCUCUUUCACACUUACAUGAGCAGUAACAGUUGCUGAGGAGAUGGGAUUGUCCAAUCAGUUGAGCUUACCUGCGUGCUGUGAUUUGAGGAUGCAGUUUCACUCAAGCCUAGCUUAAUGGACAAAUAGGUUUAUUUUGAAUACUUUAAGGAGAUGGGUGAAGGUUUACUUACAGCCUUGUAUCAAAGGAAUAUGCACCAUUAAAAAAGCCCUGUCCAUGAUUGUUCCUGAGAACGGAAACCUUGCUGAGGACCCUAGAAGUGUCAGGGACUGGAAGACAAUAGAGGGACUGAUGGGGGAAGUCCUAUGUAUAUGUCAAUAAAGCACUGUUGGGCCAAUGGAGAACCAAGAUAGGUGGGACUAGGAGUCCAGGAGAACUCGGGGAAGGAGAAACACAGA